rnacentral:rRNA from 1 species
AUAAAGUCACUGGGCGCAAGUUCAGUGAUGAAAGGAGGCCUCUGCAUAGCAAGCUUCUGCCUGAGGAGGGGCUCGCGGCCCAUCAGCUUGUCGGUGGGGUAAUGGCCCACUAAGGCUAUGACGGGUAGCCGGCCUGAGAGGGUGGUCGGCCACACGGGCACUGAGACACGGGCCCGACUCCUACGGGAGGCAGCAGUGGGGAAUCUUGGGCAAUGGGCGAAAGCCUGACCCAGCGACGCCGCGUGGGGGACGAAGGCCUUCGGGUCGUAAACCCCUGUUCUGGGGGAAGAACCCUGAGCGGGUUAAGAGCCCGUUCAGGCUGACGGUACCCCAGGAGCAAGCCACGGCUAACUGCGUGCCAGCAGCCGCGGUAAUACGCAGGUGGCGAGCGUUGCCCGGAAUCACUGGGCGUAAAGGGUGCGUAGGCGGCAGGGUAAGUCGCAGGUUAAAGCCCGGGGCUCAACCCCGGAAAGGCCUGCGAUACUGCCUUGCUUGAGGGCCGGAGAGGCUGGCGGAAUUCCCGGUGUAGGGGUGAAAUCCGUAGAUAUCGGGAGGAACACCGGUGGGGAAGCCGGCCAGCUGGACGGUCCCUGACGCUGAGGCACGAAAGCGUGGGGAGCAAACCGGAUUAGAUACCCGGGUAGUCCACGCCGUAAACGAUGGGUGCUAGGUCUGGGGAGGAA